rnacentral:rRNA from 1 species
GAUAAACGCUGGCGGCGCACAUAAGACAUGCAAGUCGAACGAACUUAACCUUUAGUUUACUAAUGGAGCGGUUAGUGGCGGACUGGUGAGUAACACGUAAGCAACCUGCCUAUCAGAGGGGAACAACAGUUAGAAAUGACUGCUAGUACCGCAUAUGCCUUGAAUAUCACAUGAUAUAAAAGGGAAAGGAGCAAUCCGCUGAUAGAUGGGCUUGCGUCUGAUUAGAUAGUUGGUGGGGUAACGGCCUACCAAGUCGACGAUCAGUAGCCGGACUGAGAGGUUGAACGGCCACAUUGGGACUGAGAUACGGCCCAGACUCCUACGGGAGGCAGCAGUCGGGAAUAUUGCGCAAUGGAGAAAACUCUGACGCAGUGACGCCGCGUGCAGGAAGAAGGUUUUCGGAUUGUAAACUGCUUUAGACAGGGAAGAACAAGGACAGUACCUGUAGAAUAAGCUCCGGCUAACUAC